rnacentral:rRNA from 1 species
UACGGAGGGUGCAAGCGUUAUCCGGAUUCACUGGGUUUAAAGGGUGCGUAGGCGGAUAGGUAAGUCCGUGGUGAAAUCCUGCAGCUUAACUGCAGAACUGCCGUGGAUACUAUCUAUCUUGAAUGUCGUGGAGGUUAGCGGAAUAUGUCAUGUAGCGGUGAAAAUGCUUAGAUAUGACAUAGAACACCCAUUGCGAAGGCAGCUAACUACGCGAUAAUUGACGCUGAUGCACGAAAGCGUGGGGAUCAAACAGG